rnacentral:rRNA from 1 species
UACGUAGGGGGCAAGCGUUGUCCGGAUUUAUUGGGUGUAAAGAGCUCGUAGGUGGUUUGUCGCGUUGUUCGUGAAAACUCACAACUCAAUUGUGGCGUGCGGGCGAUACGGGCAGGACUGGAGUACUGCAGGGGAGACUGGAAUUCCUGGUGGAGCGGUGAAAUGCGUAGAUAUCAUUUGGAACGCCAAUGGUGAAAACAGGUAGCUGGGGCUGUGCUGACGCUGAGACACGAAAGCCAGGGGAGCAAACGGG